AUUGCUGGACUUUUCAUAUCUCUGGUAAAGGUGAACACUGCAAAACAGUUCAUGAUAGGAAGCACCGAGGCUUUGACCAGUCACAGUGAUGAGGGAGAUCAGGCCAUUUGGACCACAUUAUUGGAAGAGAUGGAGACAGUGCCAAGUCCUGAAAAUUAAGAUGGACAGCCCACAGGCCAGCAAAAGAAUCUUUGUAGCUGAGAAAACAGAAGUCCUCAGUGAAGAUCUAUUACAGAUUGAGCGACGCCUGGACACGGUGCGGUCAGUAUGCCACCAUUCCCAUAAGCGCUUGGUGGCAUGUUUCCAGGGCCAGCAUGGCACCGAUGCCGAGAAGAGACACAAAAAACUGCCUCUGACAGCUCUCGCUCAGAAUAUGCAAGAAGCAUCAACUCAGCUGGAAGACUCUCUCCUGGGGAAGAUGCUGGAGACGUGUGGAGAUGCUGAGAAUCAGCUGGCUCUCGAGCUCUCCCAGCACGAAGUCUUUGUGGAGAAGGAGAUCGUGGACCCUCUGUACGGCAUAGCCGAGGUGGAGAUUCCCAACAUCCAGAAACAGAGGAAACAGCUUGCAAAAUUGGUGUUAGACUGGGAUUCCGUCAGAGCCAGGUGGAACCAAGCUCACAAAUCCUCAGGAACCAACUUUCAGGGGCUUCCGUCAAAAAUAGAUACUCUAAAGGAAGAGAUGGAUGAAGCUGGAAAUAAAGUAGAACAGUGCAAGGAUCAACUUGCAGCAGACAUGUACAACUUUAUGGCCAAAGAAGGGGAGUACGGCAAAUUCUUUGUUACGUUAUUAGAAGCCCAAGCAGAUUACCAUAGAAAAGCAUUAGCAGUCUUAGAAAAGACCCUCCCCGAAAUGCGAGCCCAUCAAGAUAAGUGGGCGGAAAAACCAGCCUUUGGGACUCCCCUGGAAGAACACCUGAAGAGGAGCGGGCGCGAGAUUGCGCUGCCCAUUGAAGCCUGUGUCAUGCUGCUCCUGGAGACAGGCAUGAAGGAGGAGGGCCUUUUCCGGAUCGGGGCUGGGGCCUCCAAGUUAAAGAAGCUGAAAGCUGCUUUGGACUGUUCUACUUCUCACCUGGAUGAGUUCUAUUCAGACCCCCAUGCUGUAGCAGGUGCUUUAAAAUCCUAUUUACGGGAAUUGCCUGAACCUUUGAUGACUUUUAAUCUGUAUGAAGAAUGGACACAAGUUGCAAGUGUGCAGGAUCAAGACAAAAAACUUCAAGACUUGUGGAGAACAUGUCAGAAGUUGCCACCACAAAAUUUUGUUAACUUUAGAUAUUUGAUCAAGUUCCUUGCAAAGCUUGCUCAGACCAGCGAUGUGAAUAAAAUGACUCCCAGCAACAUUGCGAUUGUGUUAGGCCCUAACUUGUUAUGGGCCAAAAAUGAAGGAACACUUGCUGAAAUGGCAGCAGCCACAUCCGUCCAUGUGGUUGCGGUGAUUGAACCCAUCAUUCAGCACGCCGACUGGUUCUUCCCUGAAGAGGUGGAAUUUAAUGUAUCGGAAGCAUUUGUACCUCUCACCACCCCGAAUUCUAAUCACUCUUCCCACACUGGAAACGACUCUGACUCGGGGACCCUGGAGAGGAAGCGGCCUGCUAGCAUGGCGGUGAUGGAAGGAGACCUGAUGAAGAAGGAAAGCUUUGGUGUGAAGCUUAUGGACUUCCAGGCCCACCGGCGGGGUGGCACUCUAAAUAGAAAGCACAUAUCCCCUGCUUUCCAGCCGCCACUCCCACCUACAGAUGGCAGCACCGUGGCGCCCGCUGGCCCAGAGCCCCCUCCCCAGAGCUCUAGGGCUGAAAGCAGCUCUGGGGGUGGGACUGUCCCCUCCUCUGCAGGCAUACUGGAGCAGGGGCCGAGCCCAGGUGACGGCAGUCCUCCCAAACCUAAGGAUCCUGCAUCUGCAGCUGCGCCAGCACCAGGGAGAAACAACAGUCAGAUAGCCUCUGGCCAAAACCAGGCCCAGGCAGCUGCCGGCUCCCACCAGCUCUCCCUGGGCCCACCUCACAGUGCUGCGGGGCCCAGCCCGCAUACUCUGCGCCGAGCCGUUAAGAAACCCGCUCCAGCACCCCCGAAACCAGGCAACCCACCUCCUGGCCACCCCGGGGGCCAGAGUUCUUCAGGAACAUCUCAGCAUCCACCCAGUCUGUCACCAAAGCCACCCACCCGAAGCCCCUCUCCUCCCACUCAGCACACGGGCCAGCCUCCAGGCCAGCCCUCCGCCCCCUCCCAGCUUUCAGCACCCCGGAGGUACUCCAGCAGCCUGUCUCCAAUCCAAGCUCCCAAUCACCCGCCACCACAGCCCCCUACGCAGGCCACGCCGCUGAUGCACACCAAGCCCAAUAGCCAGGGCCCUCCCAACCCCAUGGCAUUGCCCAGUGAGCAUGGACUUGAGCAGCCAUCUCACACCCCUCCCCAAACUCCAACGCCCCCCAGUACUCCGCCUCUAGGGAAACAGAACCCCAGCCUGCCAGCUCCUCAGACCCUGGCGGGGGGUAACCUUGAGACUGCACAGCCACAUGCUGGAACCUUACCGAGACCGAGACCUGUACCAAAGCCAAGGAACCGGCCCAGCGUGCCCCCACCCCCCCAUCCUCCUGGUGUCCACUCAGCUGGGGACAGCAGCCUCACCAACGCAGCACCGACAGCUUCCAAGAUAGUAACGGAUGCCCUUCCUGGUGCCCUCACAGGUGGGGAAGGUGUCCAGGACUAAGAUGUAUGACCUGCCAUAUUCAGUAAGAACUGAGAUUGGAAUAUUUAAUGACUCCAAUUCCAGGGUUUCAGAACCACAUCGCAGCAUCUUUCCUGAAAUGCACUCAGACUCAGCCAGCAAAGACGUGCCUGGCCGUAUCCUGCUGGAUAUAGACAAUGAUACCGAAAGCACGGCCCUGUGAAGAAAGCCCUCCCCAGCCCUCCGCCGCUUCCACCCUGGCACAUGGAGCAGGGGCAGGCAAACCUCUUCCUCUGCAGACAGAACAGUGAAAAGCUUUCAGUGGAGGACAAAGGAGGGCCUCACUGUGCGGGACCUGGCCUUCUGCACGGCCCUAGGAGCACCUGGAGGCCGCCACGGAAGCUGAAUGACCUGUGUCUUGAAGAAGUUGGCUUUCUUCACAUGGGAAGGAAAUAAUGCCAAAAAAAUCCAAAACAAAGAAAUACCUGGAGUGGAGAGAGCGUUCCUGCUGAAACGUGCAUAGGAAGCUUUUGCCCCUGCUGUUAACGCGGGCAGCACCUACAGCAACUUGGAAUGAGUAAGAAGCAGUGCGUUAACUAUCUAUUUAAUACAAUGCGCUCUUUAUGCGAGUGGCCUGCUCUCUGCUACCUGGACUUUCAUUCUUAUGUAUUAGGAGGGCGGCUGCUGUCCUUCAGACUUGCUGCAGAGUCAUUUUGUGUCAUAUAUCGUCUGUGUCUCCCCAGUCCCCUCAGAACCAUGCCCUUGGAUGGUGACUGCUGGCUCUGUCACCUCGUCAAACUGGAUGUGACCCGUGCCGCCUCGUUGGAUUGCCGGAAUGUAGACGGAAAUGUACUGUUCUUUUUUUUUUUUUUUAAACAAUGUAAUUGCUACUUGAUAAGGACCGAACAUUAUUCUAGUUUCAUGUUUAAUUUGAAUUAAAUAUAUUCUGUGGUUUAUAUGAAAA